rnacentral:rRNA from 1 species
ACCCCCAGCUAAGGGCCUGAACUAAAUGGAACCUGCCUUGAUGUCUUCGGUUGGGGCGACCAUGGGGAAUACAAAACCCCCACGUGGAAAGGGAGCACACCCCUAAGUUACUUCUUCUCCCGCAAGCCAGAGCAACAGCUCUAACAAGCAGAAAUUCUGACCAAACUGAUCCGGUAAAACCGAUCAACGAACCAAGUUACCAUAGGGAUAACAGCG